GCAGCAGCCACAGCUCUGUCAUCAGACUUCGGAGGUUCAAAUCCCAGCUCCUCCUUUUCCUGCCAGGCGACACCCUUGGACAAUGACUCUUCUCCCGUGUAAAGUGAAGAUGAAAGCUUGUCCCCGUGGGGGACCGAAUGCCGCUGAUUGUUAGAUAGUAUUAAGAGCUGUCAGCUCUGCUGGGGAGAGAUGGUUGUGUGGUCGUGUGUGGAAAAUGCCUUUAUCGCUCAGAGAUGCACUCAACGAUUUGGAUGUGGAUGACAACGUCUGUCAUUUAUCUUCAUUUUAGCCAAAAAAAACGUGAGGGUGCAGCAAGAAGAUGCCUUCUGUGACCCAAAAGCGGGGCCACCCUGAACACCGAAUCUUCUGGGGCCUAGAUCUUCAACUUCUCCAUUCCCAGAACUUACCGGGGAUCAAACUCGGGACCUUGUGCUU